rnacentral:rRNA from 1 species
AAUUUUGGACAAUGGGGGCAACCCUGAUCCAGCCAUUCCGCGUGAGUGAAGAAGGCCUUCGGGUUGUAAAGCUCUUUUGUCCGGAACGAAACGGUUAUGGCGAAUACCCAUGACUACUGACGGUACCGGAAGAAUAAGCACCGGCUAACUACGUGCCAGCAGCCGCGGUAAUACGUAGGUGGCGAGCGUUGUCCGGAUUUAUUGGGUUUAAAGGGUGCGUAGGCGGCCCCCUAAGUCAGUGCUGAAAUAUCCCGGCUUAACCGGGAGGGUGGCAUUGAUACUGAGGGGCUUGAGUAAAGUCGAGGUAGGCGGAAUUGACGGUGUAGCGGUGAAAUGCUUAGAUAUCGUCAAGAACACCGAUAGUGCAGACAGCUUACUAGGCUUUAACUGACGCUGAGGCACGAAAGUGUGGGGAUCAAAC